CUAUUCUAGGUGCCAGUGUGCAUUGGCAAGAAAGACAGACAAGGACGUUGCUCCCAUGAAUAUUACAUAUGCACAUACACACACAUCACAUCACAUCACAUCACACAGACACGGACACACACAGUCAUGCAUGCUCCUACCCCCCCCCCCAACCCUUUUCUGUCUACUCUUUCUCUGGGAUAAAGCUUUGGAUACCUUGAACACGGUCUGACUUUGUUAGCAUGGAUGCCACUGCCCCAUGUAGACCUUGGAGGUUCUCAACUAAUGGGUCUCUGGCACCCACUUACUUGCACCACUUCCUCACCUUACAGAAGUGACUGCCCAACCAGGCCCCUUUUAGCUAUGUCCCUGAGCUCUCCUUCAUGUGCACAUAAAGAGACGAGCUUGGAUGUCUUGCAAACACAAUUUUUGGAGAAAACCAAAAUGUCCAACUAAGUAGCAGGAGAAAAAAAAAAAAGAUUGAAUCAGAGCUGCAUGGAUCAGCAUGGAUAAAUCACAAACACGUAACAUGCUAUAAAGAAAAGCAAGUUUUAGAAGGAUUCCAUUAAUAUACCAUUUGUAUAAAUCAUGAGAGUAGACAAGCCAGUGAUCCAUAUUAUUUACGGAGACGUGUAUCAUGCAAGAGCACACAAACCCACACAGGCUUGGGCAUGACAGACACCAGACUCAGAAGUGCAGCAGCCUUGGGCCAGGGGCAGGGAUUGGGACUGGGCCAAGUUUAUCAGGGCUUCACCUGAAACUAUAAUGUUUAAUUUCAUAACCUGAUUGCUGGGUACCUGCGGUUCAUUGUGUUAUUAGUCACAUGGGUUAUGUCCAAAAUAUUUUAUUUUACAAGAUCUGAUAUCCGAAGAGAACCUAAGAGGUGUGUUUAUCCAGGAUUCCUCUGCAGUCAGAGAAUCAUAUUGGAGGCUCUAUUUCUUCACUUGAUUUGUCUUCAAGUUGCAGGUAAGGGACUCAAGCAACUGCUUAAGGAUGCUGCUAGAACAGAGGCCAUAAACAUGAGACAUGUGGAUCUACGGCUGUACUAUUUACUGGCGUGUGUGACUCGGGCAGCUAAAGUGCGACCAUUUGUCACAUGGAGUGGCAACGGGAUGGCCAGACUGGAACAUUUUUUUCCUCCAUCUUUGUGAAUACAAAGCCUUUUCCACCCCAGGUGAGCUUGGGUAGAGAAGCUGGAAGGAUUGGGAUUCACACAGCUUAGACCCAGACACGCAUUUUUGCUCAUUUUUUAUUCUGAUCGGGGUUAUUUGAUUCUAGAAAGGUGGCAUGUGGGAGUAAAAAGAGUACCAAGAGGAGGGAAGUGGGGAGGAGGCACUUCCCAGGAGUGCCAGUCAAUAAAGAGUAUCUUUAUUGAUACUCUUUAUUGUAC
rnacentral:lncRNA from 1 species